GACGAACGCUGGCGGCGGGCUUAACACAUGCAAGUCGAACGGAAAGGCCCUGCUUUUGUGGGGUGCUCGAGUGGCGAACGGGUGAGUAACACGUGAGUAACCUGCCCUUGACUUUGGGAUAACUUCAGGAAACUGGGGCGAAUACCGGAUAGGAGCUCCUGCUGCAUGGUGGGGGUUGGAAAGUUUCGGCGGUUGGGGAUGGACUCGCGGCUUAUCAGCUUGUUGGUGGGGUAGUGGCUUACCAAGGCUUUGACGGGUAGCCGGCCUGAGAGGGUGACCGGCCACAUUGGGACUGAGAUACGGCCCAGACUCCUACGGGAGGCAGCAGUGGGGAAUAUUGCACAAUGGGCGGAAGCCUGAUGCAGCAACGCCGCGUGCGGGAUGACGGCCUUCGGGUUGUAAACCGCUUUCGCCUGUGACGAAGCGUGAGUGACGGUAAUGGGUAAAGAAGCACCGGCUAACUACGUG
rnacentral:rRNA from 1 species